rnacentral:tRNA from 1 species
GCCAUGAAAGCUAUAUUUUCUGCGGGUUUAUAGCGGACUGAAAAUCCGCGUGUCGGUGGUUCGAUUCCGCCCCUGGGCACCA